CCUACGGGAGGCAGCAGUGGGGAAUAUUGCACAAUGGGGGAAACCCUGAUGCAGCGACGCCGCGUGAGUGAAGAAGUAAUUCGGUAUGUAAAGCUCUAUCAGCAGGGAAGCAAGAAAUGACGGUACCUGAAUAAGAAGACCCGGCUAACUACGUGCCAGCAGCCGCGGUAAUAAGUAGGGGGCAAGCUUUAUCCGGAUUUACUGGGUGUAAAGGGAGCGUAGACGGCUAUGCAAGUCUGAAGUGAAAGGCGGGGGCCCAACCUCCGGACUGCUUAGGAAACUGUAUGGCUGGAGUGCAGGAGAGGUAAGUGGAAUUCCUAGUGUAGCGGUGAAAUGCGUAGAUAUUAGGAGGAACACCAGUGGCGAAGGCGGCUUACUGGACUGUAACUGACGCUGAGGAGCGAAAGCGUGGGGAGCAAACAGGAUUAGAUACCCUUGUAGUC
rnacentral:rRNA from 1 species